GACAGAGGGUGCAAACGUUGUUCGGAAUUACUGGGCGUAAAGCGUGUGUAGGCUGCUACGAAAGUCGGAUGUGAAAGCCCCAGGCUCAACCUGGGAAGUGCACUCGAUACUGCGUAGCUUGAGUAUCGGAGAGGUUGGUGGAAUUCUCGGUGUAGAGGUGAAAUUCGUAGAUAUCGAGAGGAACACCGGUGGCGAAGGCGGCCAACUGGACGAAUACUGACGCUGAGACACGAAAGCGUGGGGAGCAAACAGG
rnacentral:rRNA from 1 species